rnacentral:rRNA from 1 species
UACAGAGGGUGCGAGCGUUAAUCGGAAUUACUGGGCGUAAAGCGUGCGUAGACGGUUUCGUAAGUCGGAUGUGAAAUCCCCGGGCUCAACCUGGGAAUUGCAUUCGAAACUGCAAGGCUAGGGUGCGGAAGAGGGAAGCGGAAUUUCCGGUGUAGCGGUGAAAUGCGUAGAUAUCGGAAGGAACAUCAGUGGCGAAGGCGGCUUCCUGGUCCAGCACCGACGUUCAGGCACGAAAGCGUGGGGAGCAAACAGG